GGAUGGAAAGGCACAGGGAGCGUGUGGGUGGGGGACUAUGCAGGGAGAUGCUGUGGGGCUGCCAUCUUGCUUUGAGCUCAUGCAUCACCUCAGAGCCGGGUGGGACUGCAUGCUAUGACCCUGUCUGCAGCUAAACAGAAGCCAGAGGGAAGUGUGUGCCCAGACGAGCUGCCGUCUCUAACGUUUCCCUACAGGUCUGAGUCAGCCAGCGGCCCCCAAGACACAGUUUUUUAUGAAUGGCGCCUGCUCCCCGUCUUUGUUGCCAGCCCUGCCUUCUCCGAUGGCUUUCCCUCUACCAGUGGCUCCUGACUACAGCUCCUCCAUGUACCUCUUCCGCUUGAUGGCAGUUGUCGUCCACCAUGGAGACAUGCACUCUGGACACUUUGUCACCUACAGACGGUCACCACCUUCUGCCAAGAACCCUCUCUCAACCAGCAACCAGUGGCUGUGGAUUUCCGAUGACACUGUCCGAAAGGCCAGCCUGCAGGAGGUCCUGUCCUCUAGUGCCUACCUGCUGUUCUAUGAGCGAGUUCUGUCCAGGGUGCAGCAGCAGGGGCGAGAGUACAGGUCAGAGGAGUGACAGGCCAGCCCAGAGCCAGGGCCCUCGGCGAGGUCCACACGUCCAGGAUAAAAGCAAAGGCAUGCCACGUGUACACGUGCAAGCCAGCCCUCCAGAGCCCUCAGCCUCUGUAUUCUGAGAGCAGGCUCCACUGGGAGCCAGUCCCACAGCGCUGCCAGGGUGACCUGGAAGAUGUCCUUUUGUGUCUGUGGAGCCUCUUCCUUGACACAGGCAAUUAAAACCGCC
rnacentral:lncRNA from 1 species